GAGGAAUUGUCGCUCCGUGCUACACACCAUAUCGCCAAUAGAGAAGAGAAAAAUAGGAAAACAAUGAUACAGGAAGCCCCAUUACAACUAGAGAAUAGCAGUCUAUUACGUAUCUUCGCUCCCGUCGAGGCCUCGUAUGCUUUGUAUGGCAAUUCACACGAUAAGAGGACUGUUCACUGCAGAACGGUACGACAUAAACGAAGUUCAACUCACUGAUGAUAGUAAUGUCUUUAAACAAGUUCUACAAACGUUGAAUAAAUAUAAUACGUUACCGUAUGACAAUA